GAGAAAGUUUUGUUGAACAAGAUUUAUCUUUCACUCUCCAAAGGACAUAAGACUUCAGGCUGGAUCCUAAUGGUUUUGUUAGCUUUGGAAGGAAAACAAAGCGAAGACUUCCAGACAAACUGUCUCAAAAUGAAUUGUCUCAGUUAGAAGAUCUUGUUAAGAUGUGGCUCAGAUGUAACAUCUGGAAAUUCGUGUACAUUCAGCUAGGAUCCAGGGUACAUUUGCAGCUAUGGAGAACAUCUGCAAGUUGAAAACAUGGUCCAUUCCUUAAAUCUUCAUCAAAAGUUACUCCAUUGACAUUAAUUAAAGAAAAGAGGAAGCUCUUGGGAAAGCAGUGCUUCAAUCAAUUUUUUAAUUGCUCCUACUUCCUGGUCAUUAAUCUCCCAUUUUUGGGAUUGCACAGGAACCGUGAAGAAGAAUUCAAGAUUGCCUCUACCUGUAAUCGAUAUUAACAGGACUUGACAAAUCCCAAGUGUCAGGGAGCCAUGGCUCCUAGAAGUUUUACCAUGACACCUAGACUUGGAUAUUCACAGUUCAAUCCAUUGUAGAAGUCUUGCAUUCGGUCCUGGAUCGGUUCACGUGGAGGAAGAAAUCCCAUUGCUUUCCAGUAGGACUUCCAAGGAGAGAAGAAGAUGAAGAUCUGCCCAGCACUGCUGCUUCAGCCUUGAGGGAGAACAGGUUCAGAAUUUUGCAGGGUUUGUCCACCCAUGCUGCAGGCUUUGUGUUGGAGUGAUUCAUUUGGGUGGAGAUUACGUGUGUGUGUGUUUGUGUGUGUGUGUGUGUGUG